rnacentral:rRNA from 1 species
AGAGUUUGAUCAUGGCUCAGGAUGAACGCUAGCUGGAGGCUUAAUACAUGCAAGUCGAGCGGGAUUGGGUAGCAAUACCCAUGAGAGCGGCGGACGGGUGAGUAACGCGUACACGACCUACCUUUGACUGGGGGAUAGCCCUGGGAAACUGGGAUUAAUACCGCAUAUAAUUCUGAAUAAUAAAGGUUUGGAAUGAAAGUUCAGGCGGUCAGAGAUGGGUGUGCGUCUGAUUAGCUAGUUGGUAAGGUAACGGCUUACCAAGGCGAUGAUCAGUAGGGGGCGUGAGAGCGUGGUCCCCCACACGGGUACUGAGACACGGACCCGACUCCUACGGGAGGCAGCAGUAAGGAAUAUUGGACAAUGGCCGCAAGGCUGAUCCAGCCAUCCAGCGUGCAGGAAGAAGGCCCUACGGGUUGUAAACUGCUUUUGUCAGGGAAUAAACCUGUGGAUUUACUCCGCAGCUGAAGGUACCUGAAGAAUAGACCG